rnacentral:misc_RNA from 1 species
CCAGCACCGCGGGCCACGUCACCCCGACUUGACGUUUCUGAAACAGACGAGCCAAAGCCCAAACCCAGGCUUUCGAAAUUUUGUGGCGUUCAUUUCAAGUCAAGCUGUGUCUUCUUCUUCCUCUUCUGGGCUGCUUCUUCUGUAAUUUUAGUUCUCGCUAUCUUUUUCUAGGGUAUCCGAUCAUUGUUUUUUCUUUUUUUUGUUGAACAUGACGACCAUGGAGAGCUUGAUAGGCUUGGUUAAUAGGAUUCAGAGAGCUUGUACCGUUCUCGGAGACUAUGGAGGUGAGGAUAAUGCUUUUUCUUCUCUCUGGGAAGCUCUUCCCUCUGUUGCCGUCGUUGGUGGACAGAGUUCAGGAAAGUCUUCGGUCUUGGAAAGCAUAGUAGGCCGAGACUUUCUUCCUAGAGGAUCAGGGAUUGUUACAAGGAGACCUUUGGUAUUGCAGCUUCAUAAGACUGAGGAGGGAUCACAGGAGUAUGCCGAAUUUCUUCAUCUUCCCAAGAGACGCUUUACUGAUUUUGCCCUGGUUCGCAAGGAGAUUCAGGAUGAAACUGAUAGAAUGACAGGAAAAACUAAACAAAUUUCGCCUGUUCCUAUUCAUCUCAGCAUCUACUCUCCAAAUGGUGGGUAAUUACUUUUUUUACUUCCUUAUUUGUGUAAUAUUUUAGGAGCUGUUGUACAUCUUUUGUUCAUGUUUAGGCCAAGGUUGAAAACAUUAGCUGUUUUUCUUGGUUCGCAUUAUCUUGCAGUUGUCAACUUAACACUGAUUGAUUUACCUGGCUUAACAAAAGUCGCUGUUGGUAUGUUCCACUUUUUUCCUUAUUCUGAAUUUUACUUGCACAUGCAUUUAUUUUAAUAUUUCAGUACUGAAUGGAAUGCAUUAUUUUCCUUAGAGGGACAGCCUGAGAGUGUUGUUCAAGAAAUCGAGACCAUGGUCCGUUCAUAUGUUGAAAAGCCAAAUUGUGUCAUACUUGCAAUAUCUCCGGCCAAUCAAGAUAUAGCAACAUCUGAUGCUAUCAAGCUUUCCAGGGAAGUGGAUCCCUCUGGUAUGCUUUUUUAACUUUUGUAUUUUAUGUUGGUUAUACAUUAUUGAAAGCACUUUGUAUCUUGGUUUGUAAAUUGCUCAGGUGAACGGACAUUUGGUGUCCUGACAAAGUUGGAUUUGAUGGACAAAGGAACUAAUGCAUUAGAUGUUCUUGAAGGAAGAUCUUAUCGGCUGCAGCAUCCUUGGGUUGGGAUUGUUAACCGCUCACAAGCAGAUAUUAACAAAAAUGUCGAUAUGAUUGUUGCAAGGCGCAAAGAGCGCGAGUAUUUUGCAACCAGCCCUGAUUAUGGGCAUUUAGCCAAUAAAAUGGGUUCAGAAUAUCUUGCAAAACUUCUCUCAAAGCACUUGGAGUCGGUAAUUAGGGCUCGAAUACCAAGCAUUACAUCCUUGAUAAACAAGAGCAUUGAGGAACUUGAAUCAGAGAUGGACCAUCUUGGUAGGCCUGUAGCUGUUGAUGCGGGGGUGAGUAGCUUAUUCCUUUUUUAUCAUUCUUCACCAAUGUGCUAUUUCUAUCAGUACAUAACUGACAGAUGAUAUUUUAGGCACAAUUAUACACUAUCUUGGAACUUUGUCGCGCAUUUGAUAGGAUAUUCAAGGAGCACCUGGAAGGAGGGUAAGCAUUAUUACUACUACUCUGUUGGCAACGAGGCAGUACUCCCCGUCCCCCUCCAACCAAAGAAAAAUAGGUUUUUCCUCAUUUCAAUCAUUUAAGUGUAGACUGCAGGAUAAUAUUUCUAAAUACAAUUUUUCAUAUCCUACUAAAGUCAAAUGUGGUUAUGAGACUGGUGUGGCCUGUGGCAAACUAACCAACCUUUUAUGUGAUUAGGUUUAUGUUUUAGGAAGAAUCCUACUAUGAGGAAUUCUUUUUUACCUGUCGUGAUGAGUUAAUUGGAAUUUUAUCAGGACCUAACCAAACCACGCUUAGUUCUCUAGCUGAGCUGGUUCUGUUAUUGUUAUCAGGACUUGACAGGAUACAGGCAAUUGCUGUAAAUUUGCCUUUAUUAAAUUUGAAUCUGAAGGGAUUUUUUUUCCUCGUUUUAAAUUCAUCAAUUGUAGAACAUCUAAAUUCAGAUUUCAUCUUAGAUGGAACAUCAACGUCUUCUUUAUCAAAUAAUAUAAUGCCUAGAUUUUUAUCUCAGGCGAACUGGAGGUGAUCGAAUUUAUGGCGUCUUUGACAAUCAGCUUCCUGCUGCUUUGAGGAAGCUUCCAUUUGAUCGACAUCUUUCACUGCAGAAUGUGAGGAGAGUGGUCUCAGAGGCAGAUGGUUAUCAGCCACAUCUGAUUGCCCCAGAGCAAGGUUACAGGCGUCUUAUCGAGGGAGCACUGAAUUAUUUUAGGGGUCCAGCUGAAGCUUCUGUGGAUGCUGUUCACUUUGUCCUAAAAGAACUUGUGAGAAAAUCAAUAGGAGAAACACAGGAAUUGAAGCGUUUUCCUACUUUGCAAGCUGAAAUAGCUGCUGCAUCAAAUGAGUCCUUGGAGAGGUUCCGUGAGGAUAGUAAGAAGACAGUUAUUAGAUUAGUGGAUAUGGAAUCUUCAUAUCUAACAGUGGAGUUUUUUCGAAGGCUUCCCCAGGAAGUGGAGAAAGGAGGAAGUCCUGCAGGAAAUCCAGCUUCCUCAACUGUGGACCGAUAUACAGAGGGACACUUCAGGAGGAUUGGGUCAAAUGUUUCCUCUUAUAUUAUGAUGGUGUCUGAGACACUCAAGAACACAAUUCCCAAGGCUGUGGUUUAUUGCCAAGUUAGAGAGGCCAAACAAUCAUUGCUAAAUCACUUCUACACACAAAUAGGGAAGAAAGAGGGUAAGCAGCUUUCACAAUUAUUGGAUGAAGACCCAGCAUUGAUGGAGAGGAGGAAACAGUGUGCGAAAAGGCUUGAAUUAUACAAGGCCUCGAGGGACGAGAUUGAUUCAGUAUCAUGGGCUCGCUAAGUUAUCUGGUAUUAUGAUUAGUAAAAGUUGCGGUCCAGACUUUUGAUGGUUGAGAUUCUUUUUCUUUCCUUAUAUAGUUUAUUGCCCGUUGUCUUUGUGGCUGAUUCCUUGGGAUGUGGGGUGGAUGCUGGACCUUCCUUACGUUGGAUAUUUUGUAGGUGGAUAGAUUGGCUUAACCCGUGGAAAAUCUCCUAGGCUUCCCUUAUAUCAUAAUAAUGUAAUAUAUUAAAAUGCUGAAACAUUACUUUCAUCGUUAGUCUUUCUCAAGGUGUUAUUAAAGAUAUACAAGCCUGGGCCUCUGAGUUCGAAGCUGUAAGCUUUUCUUUUGUCAGGCACACUGCCAAUGUGGCUGCUCAUAGGAUAGCAGUGAAGACAUUACAUGAUUCCUCUUUCCUUUGUUAUCCUAUGAAUUAAGGCGUUGUUUGUAUCUUCAGUCGUAUCCAGGUCCUUUGUUCAAUGAAGUUCAUAUCGUUGACAAAAAAAAAAAAAAAAAGUUUGUCUAUAGCCAUUCUUUUUUUUAAUAUUUCAUUGUUUCUCUCCAAAAGGGUGGGAGUGUAUAGUGGAAUCAGUAUCAAACCAAAAGAAGUGAUGUUUGUGCAACCAUUGUAUUGAUUCAUGGAGCUGUUUGAGAAUGUAAAUGUCAAGUGCUCGAUAGAUUUUUUUUCUUAAAAAAAAAAAGGAAAAGAAAAGAAAAAUCUCUGGCUGAGUUUAGUUGAAUGAAUCUAUGGCUCUUUUCAAAGGUUGAUCUUUUAUUGGAUAACAGCAAUAAUAGAGGAAUAAGAUUUGAGAUCUCUUGCCUCUUGUUAUAUUUUGCAAGCGGUUGAUUUAGUUGGACAAUAGAGUUUGUUAGACAGUUUGUUUUUUAAGUCCCGUGUUUUUGGAUAAAAUAUGGAUCCACUUUUACACAUCUGGGUUCAUGCCGUUCGUUAAUUUAGUUUUCUAAAUGUGUGAUUCUUGUUAUUUUACUGCGGUUGCAACUUUAAUGAAAGUAACAGAAAGGAAAAGGAAAAGGAAAAGGGUUUGUUGCAGCUUUGAUUAUAAGAAUAUUGUUAGUUAAGUUGAUUGGCAUUGAUUUGAAACAUUUUCAUGUGUUCAUGCUUUUGGAAAAACAUUGUUGCAGAUGGUGGUGUCAGUAGUAAGC